GUGUCAUUGCAGGCUGCGAAGGAUUAAUUUGUUUCAUUGAUUUCUCUUUAGGCAGAUUGCCAGAAUCCGCCGCUUCCCACCUUUCCCCGAGACUUCCAGCCGUAAUAGACAGUAAUAGCCUAAGACAAAUCAGCCAGUUUUUGUGUAAAAAUAGAAACGCAGCGCCUCCGACGCUCCCAGGGAGAUGCUGGCCCCGCGCUUACGCUCAGAAAGUAACAGGGCAAAAUGCAGAGGGUUCGGUAAAAAUGUUCUGUGCUAGAAACCAGCAUCAUGUGAUGUGGCAACCUGACAAGGAAGCCCUAGUCCUCUGCGACACUACUGAUGGAAAGACUUAACUGGCCCCGCCCUGUGUUUGGUAGGUGCCUGUCGAAACCCAAAGAGAGGCUUUUCUGUGGCCUGGAAUACCUGGGCAGGAUUACGUUGGAAACUACUGCAGGAGGCUGCUCUGUAUCAGUUUCCUGUGCAUCAUAACUGUCUAAAGGGAACCCAAGAAAAUGGCUAUCAGGAAGUUUCCUGCAUCUCUCCCUUUGUUUCCUAUGAAUGAUUUACAGGGGCUUGGUGAGAAAAUACACAUACAAUUAAGCAUGAAUUUACCUGCGCAUAAUUGGGAAUUUAUUUCAAAAAUAAAUGCCAGUGAGACUUGUCCCCAAGUCAGUUUUGUAAGGCGUAAAAUGGAAAGCCAUUCAAAGCCCAAGAGCCAUUGCACAGCUUGAAGAAAUGACCGGAACUAGCUUAAAUCAGCCAUAUUAAAAACCCAGAUCACUUGAAGCAGAAAGACAUAGGAGAUCCAAACAGAAUUUUCAGCAGUACAGCAGGAAUUCAAGAGAUGAAGAAGAAACUUUUUCAAGUCAUUCAGUUCUUAAAUUACAGAUGUGCAUUGUGACAUGGAAAAUUAUGUCAGCUGUCACUUUCUAGCUUUGCUCUGAUACAGAUUUAAAAACAAAACUGAGGAGAAAAUUUUGAACUCCUUUAUAAUCUUCUAAAUGUAUUCAUCUAAUAGACCUUAAUGCUAAGUGUUCUCGUUGUGCGGUAGUCAUGACUCUGUAGUCAUAACCGACUCAUGGCUGAAUGCAUGGAUGCCUCAUUGGGCACCUCNGUGCAGUUUUCUUGGCAGAGACACAGAAGUGGUUUGCCAUUGCCUACUUCUUGGG
rnacentral:lncRNA from 1 species